AGGCUAGUGGCUCAGUGGCAGAGCAUCAGCUUUUUGUUAUGUAAGUGCUGAUGAAUUUGGGGUUUAUAUUUAAGAGAAUGAACUAGCCUG
rnacentral:tRNA from 1 species